rnacentral:rRNA from 1 species
AUAUCACUAAGCGGAGGAAAAGAAACUAAAUAGGAUUCCCCCAGUAACGGCGAGUGAAAAGGGAAGAGCCCAACCCGAGAAUCCAUGUCAAAGUGGAGUUGUGGGAUACGGAAGCAACGUCAGUGCAGUGCCCUGGUCUAAGUGUGUUGGAAUGCACUGGCAGAGAGGGUGAGACCCCCGUUCUGGGCUGGGAGCCACGCACGUACGACUUGUUUUCUUAGAGUAGGUCUGCUUGAGAGUGCAGACUGAAGCGGGAGGUAAAUUCCUUCCAAGGCUAAAUACAUGUGAGAGACCGAUAGCGCACAAGUA